GAUGAACGCUGGCGGCGUGCCUAAUACAUGCAAGUCGAGCGAACGGACGAGAAGCUUGCUUUUCUGAUGUUAGCGGCGGACGGGUGAGUAACACGUGGAUAACCUACCUAUAAGACUGGGAUAACUUCGGGAAACCGGAGCUAAUACCGGAUAAUAUUUUGAACCGCAUGGUUCAAAAGUGAAAGACGGUCUUGCUGUCACUUAUAGAUGGAUCCGCGCUGCAUUAGCUAGUUGGUAAGGUAACGGCUUACCAAGGCAACGAUGCAUAGCCGACCUGAGAGGGUGAUCGGCCACACUGGAACUGGGACACGGUCCAGACUCCUACGGGAGGCAGCAGUAGGGAAUCUUCCGCAAUGGGCGAAAGCCUGGCGGAGCAACGCCGCGUGAGUGAUGAAGGUCUUCGGAUCGUAAAACUCUGUUAUUAGGGAAGAACAUAUGUGUAAGUAACUGUGCACAUCUUGACGGUACCUAAUCAGAAAGCCACGGCUAACUACGUG
rnacentral:rRNA from 1 species